CCGCAAAGGAUUGUGGGAAAUAAGACGCUAUUUGAAGUUUUUAUUUUUCACGACACCUGCGCGUCCCGGUUACAGUAGAUUGCUAUUAAGGUACCUCACACACGGGAGCGGGAGAAGGCGCAGCUGUUAAUGAAACGAGGCGGCAAGUGAUUCUCGCUGAGCGAGGAUCGUAUUCACCGAACGCGCCGGGAGGAGCGGAUGAAGCCCGAACCACAGAAAGUGAUGGAUUAUCGUCUCCUCCAGGCAAACGGAUCAUCAACGGUACAACUGGCCUGCUGUUCCUGUUUAGUCUUCUCCAUAGCUAUGCAAGCCACGCGCCUGAACAUGGAC